AUGCAAGUCGAACGCAGUAGCAAUACUGAGUGGCAAACGGGUGAGUAUAAUGUGGGAAUCUGCCUUUUGGUUUGGAAUAACACGGGGAAACUUGUGCUAAUACCGAAUAAGCCCUUACGGGGAAAGUUUUAACGCCGAAAGAUGAGCCUGCACUUGAUUACCUAGUUGGUAAGGUAAAAGCUUACCAAGGCAACGAUCAAUAGAUGUUCUUAGAGGAAGACCAGCCACAUUGGGACUGAGACACGGCCCAUACUCUUACGGGAGGCAGCAGUGGGGAAUCUUGCACAAUGGGGGAAACCCUGAUGCAGCGAUGCCGCGUGAGUGAAGAAGGCCCUUGGGUUGUAAAACUCUUUCGUCGGGGAAGAAAAUGACUGUACCCGAAUAAGAAGGUCCGG
rnacentral:rRNA from 1 species